rnacentral:rRNA from 1 species
UACGUAGGGUGCGAGCGUUAAUCGGAAUUACUGGGCGUAAAGCGUGCGCAGGCGGUUUUGUAAGCCAGAUGUGAAAGCCCCGGGCUCAACCUGGAGAGGUCACUCGAUACUGCUGUGACUAGAGUCCGGUAGGGGAGCAUGGAAUUCCCGGUGUAGCGGUGAAAUGCGCAGAUAUCGGGAGGAACACCAGUGGCGAAGGCGGUGCUCUGGGCCGGAACUGACGCUGAGGAGCGAAAGCGUGGGUAGCAAACAGG